rnacentral:rRNA from 1 species
GCUUUGAACUGUUUUAGUGGCGGACGGGUGAGUAACGCGUGAGGAACCUGCCUUUCAGAGGGGGAUAACGUCUGGAAACGGACGCUAAUACCGCAUGACAUUUUGUUGCCGCAUGGUGAUAAAAUCAAAGGAGCAAUCCGCUGAGAGAUGGACUCGCGUCCGAUUAGCCGGUUGGCGGGGUAACGGCCCACCAAAGCAACGAUCGGUAGCCGGGCUGAGAGGCUGAACGGCCACAUUGGGACUGAGACACGGCCCAGACUCCUACGGGAGGCAGCAGUGGGGGAUAUUGCACAAUGGAGGAAACUCUGAUGCAGCAACGCCGCGUGAGGGAAGAAGGUUUUCGGAUUGUAAACCUCUGUCCUCAGGGACGAUAAUGACGGUACCUGAGGAGGAAGCUCCGGCUAACUACGUGCCAGCAGCCGCGGUAAUACGUAGGGAGCAAGCGUUGUCCGGAUUUACUGGGUGUAAAGGGUGCGUAGGCGGCACUGCAAGUCAGGUGUGAAAACCAUGGGCUUAACUUAUGGAUUGCACUUGAAACUGUGGUGCUUGAGUGAAGUAGAGGCAGGCGGAAUUCCCGGUGUAGCGGUGAAAUGCGUAGAGAUCGGGAGGAACACCAGUGGCGAAGGCGGCCUGCUGGGCUUUAACUGACGCUGAGGCACGAAAGCAUGGGUAGCAAACAGGAUUAGAUACCCUGGUAGUCCAUGCCGUA